rnacentral:rRNA from 1 species
UACGUAGGGUGCAAGCGUUAAUCGGAAUUACUGGGCGUAAAGCGUGCGCAGGCGGUUUUGUAAGUCUGUCGUGAAAUCCCCGGGCUCAACCUGGGAAUUGCGAUGGAGACUGCAAGGCUAGAAUCUGGCAGAGGGGGUAGAAUUCCACGUGUAGCAGUGAAAUGCGUAGAGAUGUGGAGGAACACCGAUGGCGAAGGCAGCCCCCUGGGUCAAGAUUGACGCUCAUGCACGAAAGCGUGGGAGCAAACAGGAU